CAGUAGCCGCGGGAAAACCGAGGGUGCAAGCGUUAAUCGGAAUUACUGGGCGUAAAGCGCGCGUAGGUGGUUUGUUAAGUUGGAUGUGAAAUCCCCGGGCUCAACCUGGGAACUGCAUCCAAAACUGGCAAGCUAGAGUAUGGUAGAGGGUGGUGGAAUUUCCUGUGUAGCGGUGAAAUGCGUAGAUAUAGGAAGGAACACCAGUGGCGAAGGCGACCACCUGGACUGAUACUGACACUGAGGUGCGAAAGCGUGAGGAGCAAACAGGAUUAGAUACCCGUGUAGUCCCUGUCUCUUAUAC
rnacentral:rRNA from 1 species